rnacentral:rRNA from 1 species
GCUUACGGCCAUACCAACCUGAAAGCGCCCGAUCUCGUCAGAUCUCGGAAGCUAAGGAAGGUCGGGCCUGGUUAGUACUUGGAUGGGAGACUUCCUGGGAAUACCAGGUGCUGUAAGCA